CCUACGGGAGGCAGCAGUGGGGAAUAUUGCGCAAUGGGCGAAAGCCUGACGCAGCGACGCCGCGUGAGGGAUGAAGGUCUUCGGAUCGUAAACCUCUGUCAGCAGGGAAGAACGGUCACUGUGCUAAUCAGCAGUGAAUUGACGGUACCUGCACAGGAAGCACCGGCUAACUACGUGCCAGCAGCCGCGGUAAUACGGAGGGUGCGAGCGUUAAUCGGAAUUACUGGGCGUAAAGCGGUCGUAGGCGGUAUGUCAAGUCAAGGGUGAAAUCCCCGCGCUCAACGUGGGAACUGCCUUUGAAACUAGCAAACUGGAGUGUGUGAGAGGAUAGUGGAAUUCCAGGUGAAGGAGUGAAAUGCGUAGAUAUCUGGAAGAACACCAGUGGCGAAGGCGACUAACUGGCACAUAACUGACGCUGAGGGGCGAAAGCGUGGGUAGCAAACAGGAUUAGAUACCCCGGUAGUC
rnacentral:rRNA from 1 species